GAAAUGCGAUACGCAAUGCGAAUUGCAGAAAUCCGCGAGUCAUCAGAUCUUUGAACGCAAGUGGCGCUGGCGUCGAGCCAGUAUGUUUGUUUCAGUGUGUUCUGGAAUCCAAUAACUUAAUGUGAUUGAAGUCUUUUUAUUUUAUAAAUUGAUUUCUCUCAUUAAACAAGGCAAACGCUUGAGUAUGCGUUGGCCAAACGAAGUAGUCACAUUGUUAAAAUGUGAUCUCGUAUGGCUUUUAAUAACGUUACUCACUAAUAAGUGUUUGAAUUAACAAAAUUAAAAUUUCCUUUCGACACCUGAAAUCAAGCAAGGUCACCCGCUGAACUUAA
rnacentral:misc_RNA from 1 species